AAAUUAAAAUUUCAAAAUUUUAAUUUCAAUUUUCAAAUUUUAAAAUUUUUUCAGAUUUUUUUUUUAUUUUAGUACCCUAUAGUUUAAGACUUAGUUUGAUAUUGAGGUUUAUCUAACACUAUUAGAUAGAAUGGAGUUAAGAAAAAGUAUAUAGAGAUAUACUUCUACGUUCUCUGAUGGGACCGCAGAAAAUAUAUCGUAACCGACUAACCGCAAUAUGCGGAAUACAAUAUUACAUACGGAAACAAACAUAGUAUUUUUCCAUCGUCGUUUUUCACCGCACGUAACGCAAUCUCCCGCAAUCCCAAACGAAGCAAAGUGUAUCAAUUUAGCACUCCAUGAUUUUAUUUUUUAUUAUUUCCUCCACUAAUUUUUUUUCUUUGAAUUAGUAAUAAAAUUAAAACUAAAAAAUACUAAAGUAAAUAUUCGAUAAAUCUAAGUGGGGUAUCUGAAAAUUUUUCUAUAUAAUUUAACGAAAUGUUAACGAAUAGCUGACAAAAGAAAAAAAAAUAAAAUCACAGGAUACUAAAUUGAUACAAUUUAAAUUACAGGGUACUAAAGUGAGAAGUAUAAAACUAUAGGAGUGACAUUUGAAGUUUAUCCAAAAAAAUUAAAAUAUCGAUUUUGUCCUUAACUUAAGAACAAAUAAGAAAAAUUUUAAUGAUAAAAUAUUAUAUUUGAAAAAAUAAAAAAAAUAAUAUAUUUUUUAGCUCUGUCCUAAUAUUUUCAAAUAUGUCCCUCUAGUUUGUUACUGCUAGAGAAUCAUUAGAAAACUGUUUAUAUUUUUAAUUUUACUAUUAUAAAUAUGUCCCUCUA
rnacentral:lncRNA from 1 species